CGAGUCGCCGGACUCGCGGUCUCGCUGCUCGCAUCACCCUCCGUGCGUGCUCUGUUCCCCCCGAUUUUUCCCUCUCCCUUCCGAGUUCCAAUCUCAUCGGUCGUCGCCCCGCUGCUCCAGCUCUUCCCAUUCGUUCCCACUCCCUCGCGCCGAAGCAACUCCUGAAUCCUCCUGCGCGCCAAAACCCUAGCCGCAGAUCCCGCACCUCGCCGCCCGGAGCCCAAGCGGCGGCGUCGACGUCCGCGCACGCACCGACCAUUGCCGCUCGCCGCAUUGGGGCGCUUACGGCGUCGCCUCCGCUCCCGGGGCAGAGAUCUGGGUCGAGGAGACCUGGUUGCGCGUGGGCUGCGUAGGGGAUGUGGCGGGGGCGGUGUGCCCCGGGGAUCAGCGUGGCGGCGCUGGCCCUGCUCGCCGUCGCGGCUGCUGCAGGAGCCGCCGCGGGGGAUCCCGAUCCCGACGACCUCGAGCGCGCGUUUCCAAUAGUGGAGCCAGACCACAGACACACUAAACUUCGUCUCUCAGAGCAAGGUCUAGAAGCAAUUCGAAGGAUCGAAACUCCUAUUGCUGUUGUUGGUGUCAUUGGUCCCUAUCGAUCUGGAAAAUCAUUUCUCCUCAACCAGCUUCUCUCCUUAUCUUGUGAUAAAGGUUUUGGAGUUGGUCAUAUGCGAGAUACUAAAACUAAAGGUAUUUGGAUUUGGGGUACUCCUGUUGAGAUGGAUGUUGAUGGUUCCAAAGUUUCUGUCCUUUAUCUAGACACUGAAGGGUUUGAAAGUGUUGGGAAAUCAAAUGUGUAUGAUGAUAGGAUAUUUGCUUUGGCGACUGUCUUAAGCUCGGUCCUUAUCUACAACCUUCCUGAGACGGUACGUGAAGCUGAUAUAUCUAGGCUUUCAUUUGCCGUUGAAAUUGCUGAAGAGUUCUAUGGAAGAGUGAAGGGGCAAGAUGUUGCUUUUGAGCCAGCAAAGCUUCUCUGGCUUAUCCAGAGGGAUUUCCUCCAAGGAAAAUCUGUUCAACAAAUGGUCAAUGAAGCCCUCCAACGGGUGCCUAAUGAUAAUGGUGACAGAUAUAUUAAUGAGGUCAAUCAAAUACGAGAUUCUUUGGCAGUUAUGGGCAACCACAGCACUGCUUUUAGCUUGCCCCAGCCACAUCUUCAAAGAACAAAAUUAUGUGAUAUGGAGGACAAAGAGCUUGAACCCUUAUAUGUAAAACGGCGGGAGCAACUAAAGCAGCUUGUUUCGUCCAUUGUAAAACCAAAAAUCGUGCAGGGUAGAACUCUAAAUGGGAAGGACUUUGUGUCUUUCUUGCAGCAGAUUCUUGAGGCUUUGAAUAAAGGCGAAAUUCCAUCAACUGGAUCUCUGGUUGAAAUUUUUAACAAAGCCAUUCUUGAUCGCUGUCUGAAGGUGUACAGGGAGAAAAUGGAUAGCUUAAACCUACCAGUGCCGGUAGACGAACUGCAGAAACUUCAUGAGAUGACAAAUGGUGAAGCUAGAAUUCUCUUUGAUAAGCAGCACUUUGGCAAACAUCAUGCUGCUCAGUCGGCCCUCAAGCUUGAAGAUGAGAUUAAAGAGGAUGUACUUUGUAGGUGUACAGAAACUUCCUUCUAGCUAAUGAAUAUCAAUCGUCAAAGCUAUGUGAAGCUCGCUUUUCUGAGUGUGAAGAUAAGAUGGAUCACCUUCAAGUCUUGAAACUUCCUUCAAUGGCAAAAUUCAAUGCAGGCUUUACUCACUGCAACCAAAGUUUCGUAAAGGACUGCGUGGGACCUGCAAAAGAAAGCUACGAACGUAGAAUGUCAAAGAUGCUUGCCAAGUCUCGUGCUCUUUUCAUCAAGGAGUACAAUAACAAGCUUUUCAAUUGGUUGGCGACAUUCUCUUUGGUCAUGGUGGUGAUCGGGCGCUUUGUCAUCAAGUUCUUCCUACUUGAAAUUGUUGCUUGGGUGAUGUUUAUCUUCCUAGAGACGUACACGAGAAUGUUCUGGUCAGCGGAAUCACUGUAUUAUAAUCCAGCUUGGCACAUCAUUGUUUCUUCCUGGGAGAUGAUCGUGUACAGCCCUAUUCUUGAUCUGGACAGAUGGGCCAUCCCAAUUGUCAUAAUGCUAUCAUUGGGGGUUCUUUACUGGAGGUGCUUCGGCCGCAGAAGGAAGCGGGUAAAGGGUUCCCUCCUCCCAUUGUACAAGAAUUCUUACAAGAACUCGAGUCGCCCGAGAUCAGAUUAGUUAUACGCAAUGUUUAAGUUUUUCUUUUAAAGGAUGGUACAAAACAUCUGCUUAUAGAAGAGGCUACACUGCCCGUGCUUUUGGAUGGGCAUGUUUUGAUGCUGCCUUGCCUAUGGAUCUCCAAUUGUUUUUUGGUGGACGAAGAGAGACAGUGAAGCUGCUAGCGAUGGCCGAUGGGGCACCUGCACAAGCCUCCGUUGUAAUUGUAAUUCUACUUCUCUGCCUUCUGUAGCUAGGCUAUCCUUACAUGUCACGGUCUCAAUUCUUUGCUUAUUGUUUACAUCCACUGCAAUUUUUGCAAGGAUUUUGUUUUUAUCGGGUCAUAUACAAUGUAGUUGUUAUUUAGAGCGUGCACCGUGACAUUCAUAUGCUCGAAGUCUGGCGGUGGAAUUUGGAAACGUGCCUUUUUUAUACUGCUAUUAUACAGUUAAUGUACUCAUGCUAUCCUUUUGGCCA